rnacentral:rRNA from 1 species
AGUGAACGCUGGCGGUAGGCCUAACACAUGCAAGUCGAACGGCAGCACAGUAAGAGCUUGCUCUUACGGGUGGCGAGUGGCGGACGGGUGAGGAAUACAUCGGAAUCUACUUUUUCGUGGGGGAUAACGUCGGGAAACUUACGCUAAUACCGCAUACGACCUACGGGUGAAAGCAGGGGAUCUUCGGACCUUGCGCGAUUGAAUGAGCCGAUGUCGGAUUAGCUAGUUGGCGGGGUAAAGACCCACCAAGGCGACGAUCCGUAGCUGGUCUGAGAGGAUGAUCAGCCACACUGGAACUGAGACACGGUCCAGACUCCUACGGGAGGCAGCAGUGGGGAAUAUUGGACAAUGGGCGCAAGCCUGAUCCAGCCAUACCGCGUGGGUGAAGAAGGCCUUCGGGUUGUAAAGCCCUUUUGUUGGGAAAGAAAAGCAGCAGGUUAAUACCCCGCUGUUCUGACGGUACCCAAAGAAUAAGCACCGGCUAACUUCGUG